CUUCCCGAGCUGAGCCACCACCAGUCCUCCGUUCCCGAGCUGGUUCGCCGCCGCCGUCCGUCGUCCUGCUGUUGCAGCACCUUCGGAGGCAAGUCGAGCCGCAAGUCAGCGCCACCUCCACUACUGCGAUGACCUCCCCCAGCUCUAUUGUCGUUCCCCUCGCCAUUCCGAGCCUCCACCGAGCUCCACCCACCAUGGCCGCACCUCCCACACAGCAGCUCGCCCGUCGACCCGUUCCCCAAAAUCUCGCCCCGACUAGGCCUGCUGAAGAGCCGAUCCUGGAGGACGACCAGCUAGAGCCUGCUGACCAGGAGCCCGACGUCGAGGAGGAGUACGCGAGUGAAGAGGAUCCUGACUUUGUGCCCGACGAGUAGCGCGUUCCUACACCCAAGUCCCCUGUGGUGCCAUUGUGUUGUAGCAGACGCCAUGUCCGAUGAGGAGCUCGCAGUCGCGUUCUUCGCCACCACUAUUUUAUUUCUAGUUUCUAUUAUCGUAUUAUUAGAAUGUGCUAAAUAAAAGCCUUGUAUGUUAUGGCACCACUUGAGCAUUUUACUGGAACUCUGUAUUCUAUUAAAUCUAUGCAUAUUUAGUUUCGGUCAUUAGACCGGGUCGCUUCACUUAUUUGGGCGGCCUCACCAGAAUCGUAAUCCUCGUUGCCUACCUGUGGUACCUGUGCUCCAUACUCAA